rnacentral:rRNA from 1 species
UACGGAGGGUGCAAGCGUUUGUCCGGAUUUAUUGGGUUUAAAGGGUGCGUAGGCGGCUCUUUAAGUCAGCGGUGAAAGUCCAGAGCUUAACUCUGGGAUUGCCAUUGAUACUGAAGAGCUUGAGUAUAGUUGAGGUAGGCGGAAUUGACAGUGUAGCGGUGAAAUGCAUAGAUAUUGUCAAGAACACCGAUUGCGUAGGCAGCUUACUAGCUAUAACUGACGCUGAGGCACGAAAAGUGUGGGGAUCAAACAGGG